UACGUAGGGGGCAAGCGUUGUCCGGAAUUAUUGGGCGUAAAGAGCGUGUAGGCGGUCCGAUAAGUCGGCUGUGAAAGUCCAGGCUCAACUCUGGAAUGCCGGCCGAUACUGUCGGACUAGAGUCCGGAAGAGGUGAGUGGAAUUCCUGGUGUAGCGGUGAAAUGCGCAGAUAUCAGGAGGAACACCGGUGGCGAAGGCGGGUCUCUGGGCCGGAACUGACGCUGAGGAGCGAAAGCGUGGGGAGCGAACAGG
rnacentral:rRNA from 1 species